rnacentral:rRNA from 1 species
GUUUAUCCCCCACACUGGUACUGAGACACGGACCAGACUCCUACGGGAGGCAGCAGUGAGGAAUAUUGGUCAAUGGACGCAAGUCUGAACCAGCCACGUCGCGUGAAGGAAGACGGCCCUACGGGUUGUAAACUUCUUUUGUAAGGGAAUAAAGUGAGUCACGCGUGACUUUUUGCAUGUACCUUACGAAUAAGGAUCGGCUAACUCCGUGCCAGCAGCCGCGGUAAUACGGAGGAUCCGAGCGUUAUCCGGAUUUAUUGGGUUUAAAGGGUGCGCAGGCGGGAGAUUAAGUCGGCGGUGAAAUUUUGCAGCUCAACUGUAAAAGUGCCAUCGAUACUGGUUUUCUUGAGUGUGGAUGAAGUAGGCGGAAUUUGUGGUGUAGCGGUGAAAUGCAUAGAUAUCACGAGGAACACCGAUUGCGCAGGCAGCUUACUAAACCAUAACUGACGCUCAGGCACGAAGGCGUGGGGAUCAAACAGGAUUAGAUACCCUGGUAGUCCACGCAGUAAACGAUGAUUACUGGCUGUUUGCGAUAUACAGUAAGCGGCUGAGCGAAAGCGUUAAGUAAUCCACCUGGGGAGUACGUUCGCAAGAAUGAAACUCAAAGGAAUUGACGGGGGCCCGCACAAGCGGAGGAACAUGUGGUUUAAUUCGAUGAUACGCGAGGAACCUUACCCGGGCUUGAAAUGCAUCUGACAGGGGCAGAGACGUCCUUUCCCUCGGGGUCAGAUGUGUAGGUGCUGCAUGGUUGUCGUCAGCUCGUGCCGUGAGGUGUCGGCUUAAGUGCC